rnacentral:rRNA from 1 species
UACGAAGGGGGCUAGCGUUGCUCGGAAUCACUGGGCGUAAAGGGUGCGUAGGCGGGUCUUUAAGUCAGGGGUGAAAUCCUGGAGCUCAACUCCAGAACUGCCUUUGAUACUGGAGAUCCUUGAGUCCGGGAGAGGUGAGUGGAACUGCGAGUGUAGAGGUGAAAUUCGUAGAUAUUCGGAAGAACACCAGUGGCGAAGGCGGCUCACUGGCCCGGUACUGACGCUGAUGUGCGAAAGCGUGGGGAGCAAACAGGG